rnacentral:lncRNA from 1 species
CAGCAAGAUCUCCAUGUACAGCUACAUCUUUAGGGCCGCUCGGGUUAAUAUAUGUCGUCAGAGGCUCCUCACGCCAAUCCCGGGGCGGCGGGGGCGGCGCCUCGCGCUCUCCGCAAUAAAACUUUUUGAUGUUCUUGUUGCUAAUUGCCGAGGUCCUCGUCCAGGAUUGGCUGCCCCUUCAUAACCAGAAGAUAAUUAAAACGAGGGUGGGGGGAGCAGGGUUAAAAAAACUUUUUUAUCAGCCGGAGGUUAAUGCAAGUGUUUAACAGAUGCUUCACUAUUAAAUAUUUUCCCCCCAGGUCUCAAAUACUGAAGAAUCUUAAACCAGGGACGCCAGCCCUAGCGCAGACCUUGGGCGGUUUCAAAGCGCAGGGCACCUCGAUUCCCCGAAUUUGUUGUGUGGCCGGUAUCGGUGUUCCCCAGGUUUAACUAGCCUGUCUGGUAAGUAACUGAAUAUUUUUUACAGCGUGUUCAGAGCUUAUUUUUCAGUUUUUAUGAACAAACAUAUAAAUACAUCUCCGCAUUCCUACCUCUCCCAUAAAAGCGGGCAUGUGUGGAAAGCAGGUUUAGUUAUCGGAGGGGAACCAUUAAACACCAGUUUAAGAGGCAGGCCGGGAGGACGGCUCGUGGAUGUUUAGACUGCUGGCCUUGGUGAUCUUGAACACAUUAGAACGGAAAAUGGAUCUCCACUUGUAAGUCACCGGGCCGCAGGGCACCGGGACCGCGGCGCCCGAGUGGCUUCAGCCGUUUUGAGAAGAGGUUGGGGAUUGGGGAGGCGGGUGGACGAUGGCAGGAGCUGAAAUGAUCCCGGGGGUUGGCCGGCAGCCUUGGACCGAGGCUGAUGUGGAGCUGAAUAUUCCGCCCGAAGGGUCGGUGUGGAAAAGAGUGUCAACAGGAGCCCAAGGGCCGUAAAUUAGAGGGAGCCCACGCGGGGUGUGCCUGCGCCAGCACGGGCGCUGCGGCCUGGGACUCGCUGCUGGGCCUUGCCAGGCUCUACCGGAGGAGACCAAGCACCCCACGGUGGGCUUCGUCCCAGGGAGGCAGGCAGAGUCAGGCCCCAGGCUGCAGAGUCCCAUUCCAAGGACUUGGUAAGGACAGUCCUUUGCUUGCGUGCUGCCCACUCUUUGGUGGGUACAGGCUUGGGGAUGGAAGGCCUGGUCUGCAGGAAUAGAGGGCAGGGUUUGGGGGUACCCAGAGCCCUGGGCACAGCUUUGACAAACAUGUUUUAGGUUUUCUGUGGCCAGGCUGUAGGAGAAGAAAAGGAACCCAGAGGGGGCUGUAGAAAGUUGGCUGAGCGUCACCACGAGGGCCCAUCCUGUCCCUUCAGCAAAGGGUCAGUUUUCUGGGAUGCCCCCAGCAGAGGUCUUGAAACCGAGAAUAGGGGUGGGGAGUGGCUAAAACCAGGUAUGCUGGGCCCUUUGGGCUCAGA